ACAUCAUCUGGCAUUUACUUCUCCUGAAUAUUUUGAGGCCUGGGAGAGUGACACCAGAAAGUGUAAUACACAGCUUUGGGACUCUCUUGAUUGAUCUUCUCAGCGGAAAGCAUAUGCCCGCUAGCCAUGCAAGUGAUUGUUCGAGUGGUGAACAGGG